UGGCGGCAGCAGCCCGGGGCGCCUGUACGGGGACGGGGCUAGGCAGGGCGGGGUGGGGCGGGAUGCAGGUGUGGGGCUUGGUAUCUGCUUCAGCAGGGGCGGCAGGGGCAGCAGAAGCAGAAGCAGCACCAACAGCAGCAGCCGAGGCCGGGAGGGCGGGCGGGAGGGUGUAGGGUGGCAUUGAUCUUGCGAGCCGGGCCGCCUCCACCCGGGAAUCAAUACCCGCCGCCACCACACCGGGGCCGGCCUUACACCUGUGUGUGUGUGUGUGUGUGUGAUACAGAUAUUGUCCAAGCACUAAUCUACCAAAACCUUUUCCGCGUCCCACAUAAAACCGGGAUCUUCUUUAGAACUAGGCGGGGUGGGGCUGGGGGCCGCACUUGGCGGGGCUGCGGAGGCCAGAGGGGCGGUAUUUUUAAGCCCGGCAUUUAAUACAGCAAAAACAGGUCGGGGGAGCCGAGGGGGACCAGAAAUAACCAUCAUGUGUAAAGCCGUAGGCGAUGUGCACUUCAGCCCCCGUCCUACGCCGGGCGGCGGUGCCGCGGGGGGAGGAGGGUCAGGUCACGGGUGACAGCGUCAGGUCAUAGCGGGAAGUUACCAACGAGGCAGACUGACUAAUUAGGAUGAAUAAACGGGUCAUCUUUAGGCAGGGAACGACAGACAGGCAGAACAUGAAAGAAGCCUUCCCUGGCGUGCCGGCUUCUCGCGCGGCGGUGGUGGUGGUGGUGGUGAUGCCUGUCCCCUUAUCUCCACCUCACCUUCUGAUAACCUCCGCCGGUUUUGUCUUAUCUCCCACUGCCUUCCUCUCUCCUUCCCUCACAGUUUACUCAGCUUACCAUUAUUUUCAUUAUUGUGUCCUUUACGUAUCUCCUUUAAUAUAUCAACUGUGAGCAAUGUCUUUCUAGUCUUUAUUUUAUUUUUUCCACCACUGCAUCAGCUCUAAGGAUCGUUACGCCCCUUUUUCUUAAACUCUUGCUUUUCUUGUUUUCAUCAUUGCAUCAGUUAUGAGGAAUUCAUUUCUUUACCGUCUUCUCCAUAACCACAUCAAUUGAGGAACGUGUCAAGGCUUUGUUUCUAGGCAUCCUUGUAUAUUGCCUUUGCCAUCACUGUAGAUCGAGCAAAAGAUUUAAGUUACCAGUAGUCUAUUUAUGGUCGUUUGUUACAAGUCGUCUCUAUAACUGUAGGAGCCCAAUAGUAUAAGGAUAUAAUUCUACUUGUCGUCCUCUAUCAACUAAGUUAGGUUAUUUUACCUUUUUCACUUCUAAUUAACAACUCGGAAUCUCGGAUGCAGGUUAGGGGUCAUUUUUUUAACGCUUACUGUCCAAACUUAGGUUUCUAUUUCACUUUCUAUCAUGUGAUCUCGUCUUUCAACUAAAAAAGAGUUGUUUAUUUCUACCCGUAUUUUUACCUGUUAUCUCCCCAACUGUCUCUUAUCAACCCCAGGAAAUCAGCUCGUUUUGUUUCUUCCUGUUUUUCUGCGGCUAUUCAUAUCCGUUGCUAUUUCAAGUUAGGUCUCCCUUUCCACGUUUUUGUACAUGUUAUCACCAGUAUCUUCCCAUCAGGACCUAGAUUUCGAAAACAAGAAAAAAUGUUCCCAAAAAUUUACGUUGUCGGUUAACUCCAUUUCCAAAAAUUGCCGUUCAGUCAUUUAACUUCAUUCUCAUAAAGUCCCGUUGUCGGUUAGAAGAAAGUGGCGUUCAGUUAACUUCAUUCCCAUUAAGUCCCGUUGUUAGAAGAAAGUGGCGUUAAGUUAACUUCAUUCCCAUCAAGUCCCGUUGUCAGUUAAAAAAGUGGCGUUCAAUCAGUUACAUUCCCAGAAAUUGCCGUUCAGUCAGUUUACUUCAUUUUCAUAAAAGUCCUGUUGUCAGAAAAAGUGGCGUUCAAUUAGUUACAUUCCUAGAAAUUAACAUUCAGUCAGUUAAAUUGAAAGGAAUUCCCGUUCACUUGGUUAAAUUCAGAGACAUUGCCGUUCAGUCAGUAUAUAAGUUACAUUCCCAGAAAUUGAUGUUCAGUCAGAAAGAUACAUUCCCAGAAAGUACCGUUCAGUUAGUUAAAUUCGUAGAAGUUGGCGUGCAGUUAUUUCCCAGCAGUUCUCGUUCAGUUAAAUUCCCCUAAGUUGGCGUUCAGAUAAAUUCCCAGCAGUUUUCGUUCAAUUAGUUAAAUUCCCCGAAAUGGGCGUUCAGAUAAAUUCCCAGCAGUUUUCGUUCAGUUAGUUAAAUUCCCCUAAGUUGGCGUUCAGAUAAAUUCCCAGCAGUUUUCGUUCAGUUAGUUAAAUUCCCCUAAGUUCACUCUUCCUAAGCCCUCCUCAGUGACCUCAAUUCUAGGGGCUCCUUUCUCCCUUAACCGCAGGAGGGAGGAGGGUUGCUGACCUUCCCUUUACCCUUCAGCGGUCUGCCAUUUCUCCAUCUUCAUCCAUUUAUCGCGUCCCUCACGUUCUCCCGUUCUUUUCCAACUCUUGAAUUCCGUACCCUUCAUUCUCCCUCAUUCCUAUUCCUCUCGUGUUUCUACUUUUACUCCGAUAUGGUUGUGUGGCCCCCCUACUUUCUCUCUCUCUCUCUCUCUCUCUCUCUCUCUCUCUCUCUCUCUCUCUCUCUCUCUCUCUCUCUCUCUCCCUCUCCCUCAGGUGUAAAAAUGCUGGAAUACAACUGUCCGUAAGGUAAGCAGGUAACUACGUCAAGCCGCAGGAGACAGGUGGAUCGUUACGCUAUGAAAGGCCGGGGAGAAGAAACCAAAGGGAGAAAAAGUAAGGGGAGCCAUUGUAGGGUUAAAGGGAAGGGGAGGUGUUCUUUUGGCCUGUUUGAUCUAGCAGAAGGGAGGGAGGGAGGAGGAGGAGGGCUGGUUAAAGCGCUACCAUUUAAAUAUUUACCCCAAGUAGACUCUUUCAUCAGCGUUAAUGAGGAGAGUGAGGAGAGUUUUCAAAGGUACACUCGAGUCGCCCCCCCUCCUUAAAGCUCACUGCCCCCCCAACCCUACAGCGACCUGGCCUUGGGUGGGGGAUUUUAUGUUCAGGUCAGGUGGUGAUGGUUAACUUAUAAUGCACUCAGCGCUCUUUAGGACAGAGAUAAAGUUCGUUGAAGUCGAAGGGGUUUCAAGUGCAAAGGGUGGGCUGAUAACUUGCUCCCGCGGCACUGAUAAAGAAGUUAAGUGUGCAGUGCCAUAAGUUCCUGGGAAUAAAAUAAGGGCAAGAGAGGCAAAUAACGAGAACUGAAGUAGAAUAAAAAAAAAAGAGGAAGUAAAAGACGGAUUAAGAUAUUAAGUCCAUGAACACCCGAAGAUUCAUGGGCAAGACUACACCUCCGUCUCAAAGUUCAGCCGAGCGAAGAAAAAAAAGUUAAAGGGAUUAGUCAGAGCUGGAGAUUAGGAUAAUGCAGGGAGUUCCAAAGACUUGUAGAGAUCACCCCGGGCGAAGUACAGAUCCCUUUCAGGUGUAAUUUAGCGAGUUUGUUGUAAAGUAACUAAGGAUAAUGCAAAAAUCACAACCAGGGAGAUUAGGAUAUGCAUGAAAUCCCAAAGAUAUGUUUCCAGAUUAUUACACAACAUAAUCCCCUUUGAAGUUAAUAUUAUUGCGAGAGAUGGUUACGAUAAGAACGCUCACCAAAGUUACACGUUUGUUCAAAGCCCAGAGAUAGACGCCUAGAUUAUCCCAGCAAAGUACAAGAUCCUCCCAAGGCUAAUUUUGUGCAAGAGACAGACUAACGAUAGAAAGGUUCGGGUAAGUCACAAAUUUGAGCCACAUUUCUUAGGGAGUUCGUAUUAUCUAAAUCUGCAAAGGCCCGUUCAAUUUUAACUAUUAGUGUAAGGAAAGCCCCACCAAGAGUAACGAUAAGAAAAUUUGUCAAACUCAUUAAUUUGAACCAGGUCUUUAGGCUCCAAAAGACGUGUCAAGAUUAUCCCAGUCUAUAGUAAUCCCCUCUCACUGUUACUUAGAGGCAAGGAAACGCUCAACAGGAGACAGUAACGACAAGAAAAUUCGUAAAAAUCGCAAGUUUGAGCCAUAUGUUAAGGUCCUCAAAAUAGGUCUGAACAUAAUUCCAGUCUACAAAAAAAUCCCCUUCAUUGUAAACUUCCGAAGAAAAAAAGCUCAUCGCGACAGUUACGAUGGAAAAGUUCGGCAAAGUCACAAGUUCGGACCAGACCUUAAGUCCCCAAAAUCCAUGUUCAUAUCUCGAUCUUCCGAAAUCCGGUUCAAGGUUAGGUUAGUGCAAGGGAAAGCCCAAAGCCCAGGGAGCCUCACGUUCAUCCCCGGUCCAGCGAUAAGCCGCGGGUAAUGAAUCAAGAUAAAGCCACACACAAAAAAAAAGAAAACCCACAGCGAACCUCGAGGCUGGAGAUUUAGGGGAUAAUAAAACCACUUUACUGCCGGGCGUUAAAAAAGAUGAAGCGGAUAUAAAGUGUAAUUAUGAGACGGGCGUGUUGUCUUUUAUGGAAGGUGGAAAGGAGAGUUGCCGUGUUGAAAGUUUGAGGGUGAUUCGUGGGGAUUUGAAGCUUCGGAUGAUGAAGUUCGAAUCGCCGAGGAAAGGAAGCGAGAGAACGAGGUCUAAAGUUAGUUAAAACGGACUAGUGUGCUUCAUGUUGGGUGUUAAGGCGGGGCUAGGGGUCGAUAUGGCAUGGUUGUUAGGGAGAGUUGGGGGUUCAUUCGUUGGUAUUGAAGCUCCGAGUAAUGGGGGUUCGAUCCACGGAAGGGGGCCCUGCAGCGAAAGCACGAGUCUACGUUUAUCUCUUCUACCACUUCGUUAACAGAAUGAAAGAGUUGAUUUGGAAGUUCUUACACACACACACACUGGGAAAAACAUAGAUAACACAACCGGCACUUUAUUCUGUCACAAAUUGCAUAACAAAAGACUAACGUAAAGGAGGGGGUCAUUGCAGCUUAACGACAUGCAUCAGAUAGUGAGACAACAACAUAAUGACAGGUAGUACGACAUGACAAGUAAGAUGAAAGGUCUCUCUCUCUCUCUCUCUCUCUCUCUCUCUCUCUCUCUCUCUCUCAGAACACGAUACCUAUUUAAAACUGAUAAAAAAAACGAGCAAUGUAACAAAAAAGACACAUGGAAAGAUAUUAGGUAACACUGUACUCCGCCAACACUCAGAAUAGCAAUAGACACGCAAUACAAGCCAGCAACUCAAAUAGGCAGCACCAGAGGGCAACACCUAAUCAGACAGCAGCAGGAGCCGACGAAAAACAUCAGAUCCCUUGUCACACGCGAUCCAACCCCUUAUCAUAGGAGGAUUAGCAUGCGGAGCUCCCGGGGACAUGAAAUAUUAAACGCGGACGCCGCUAUCAUGACUGGGUUGACAUGCGUGGAUUGAAAAGAGGAAGAUUGCGUCAUGUCGAUUUUGCAAGAAGAGUUGAUGCCGGUGUUGGUGCAUUCUGAUGACGUUUGUGUGUGUGGGUCGAUUAAUUGAUUCCAUUGUUGGUUUGCGUUUGCUUCACCCAUUGUUAUUGUGUUGUUUUUUUCGAUAAUCCAUAGAACCAUUCUCUCUCUCUCUCUCUCUCUCUCUCUCUCUCUCUCUCUAAAUAGACUGGGAAAAAAUUUCGUCGAUAAAUAUACAGGUAUACAUGCGCGUGUGCGUGUCAGUCAGUCACUCAGGCCAUUCCGUGCAUGCCAGCCACGCCCACACGUCACGGAAUAGCCAGGGGAGGUAGGAAAAGCUGUACCGGCCGGCAGGUUUUACAGGGGGGCGCGAUAGGGAAGUAGGCAGCAAGGAACCAAGAUAGGUAAGGAAAGCCAGCAGGAUGGUAGAGCAACACAGCAAAAUGGGUAAGCCGAGGAGAAAAUAGAUAAAAAAAAAUAGCUGAAAAUAAAGGAAGAGUAAAGGGGUUUAAAGUAGGAAAAGAAGGAGAGGAUAAAAGGUAGACUACGAGGGGGAAGAUAAAGUAGGUAGAAGGAAGACUGAGAAGUAGAAAGUAAAAAGUUAAAGAGAAUAGGAACAUCAAGUAAAGGGAAGACUGUGAGGAGAAAAGAGACAAGGCAAAAGAAAGGUAGAAAGAAGAGGAGGAGAAAGAGAAAUAGGGGACAGAAGAAGGAUUGAACAAGUAGGAGAAUGUAAAAGAAGGAGAAAGAGAAAUAGGAGAUAGAAGGACUGAACAAGGAGAGAAGAGGCAAUAAGGAAAAGAACAGGGUAGCAAAACAGAUAAGGUGAAGAUUAGUAAGGCAACGCAAGAGAGAAUCAGUAACGUAAGCUCUCAACUCAACGCCUUACUAAGAGUGAUUGUGUUGUGCCGGGGCGUGAGAGCCAUUUAGGAGUUGAGUACUUGCAAAGAGAGCCACUCGUGUGUGUGUGUGUGUGUGUGUGGAGCCGGUUGGAUUUCAAGAUGGCGCCGGCCGGUUUUCCAUUCCCAGCUUUUUUUGUUUUCUGGCCUCCUCUUCCUCCUCCCUCGUCCUCCUCCUCCACUUCCUCGUACAGUCUUCCUUCUACGUCCUCCUCCUCUUCUCGACUUUCUUCCUUUAUUUUCAUUUACGUUCCUUUUUCUGUCUAUCCUCCUCUUCCUUCUUCCUCUUCCAUAUACUUCCAAAAAAAUAUAAAGAUUUGCCAUACUCUCUCUCUCUCUCUCUCUCUCUCUCUCUCUCUCUCUCUCUCUCUCUCUCUAAGACUCGCGGUGAUAGGUACGCAGACGCUAAGCUAUUGAUUGAGGGAGGGAGGGAGAGAGAGAGAGAGGGGGGGGGGGGAGGGAGGGAGUGAGUCUUAUGCUUGCCACCACCACCACCUCCUCUCCCUCCUCCUCCUCCUCCUCCUGUUAACGUUCCUCCACCCUGUUCAUCUCCAACAACGUCUAGUGGAGAAUAUUGACGGGGAAGUCUCCUCCCUCGCGUGGAUCAGGUGGAGGUGGAGGCAGGGAGGGAGAUGUCGUGGGUGGGAUGAUGAUGAUGGUGGUGGUGCAUUGCAGUGGUAACCGGCUGCUCCCCCCUCCACCCCUCUCCACUCCUCCACCCGUCUCCCACUCCUCUCCACCUCUCCCACCCGCCCUGCACUCCUCCUCCACGAUACUUCACCUUGUCUCGGUUUCUCCUCCACUUAGUUCAUAAUCCACCUCUUCACACCGUUCUUGAUAUGCCUCCUCUCCCCUCCUUAUGCCGCCUCCUCCUCCACCUGGGUCACAGCGGGGGUGCAGGGGGUAGGGGUUAUCCAGGUUGGUUUCUCAGCCGGCUCUCGACUCUGCCGGCGACACACACACACACACACACCCUGCUAAUACACAUACACGCACACACCACCGUUUAAUGAUGACACAGGCACUCGUUAGGAUGCCGACACACACACACACACACACACACACACACACACACACACUAAGCAGGAGGGAAGACAGCACCAUAAUAGGACGUCCCAAGAUAUUGCAAGAGCUACCACAUGACUUGAGAAUGGAGGAGGAGGUUGCGAAGAAGCAGAGGUGAAGGAAGCAUAUGAAGUGAAGAAAUUGGGAGAAGAGGGGAGAGGAGAGGUGAUAAAUGUUAACUAUGGGGAGGCAAUGCGUGAUGGGAGCUCGGGGAGUAUGGAGUGGGAAGAGUUGAGUGGAAGCUAUGGUGGUAAUGAGGGGCUUUAGAUGCUCUGGGAAGGAAAUUGGGGAGGUUAUGAAUGAUGGAUUGGGGGUUGACUGAUAACAUUUAAGACCUAUUUUCGUCUGUAGCGUAGCGAAUAUAUUUCAACUCAUUUACCAAGACUCACACCUGCGUAAUUACCCCACACAUGUCUUCCCUUACCUGCAUCAUGAAUAAAAGUUUAGUUCAUCAUUUACCUAUUUAAUGCAGUCAAAAGGUGAGCUUACCGAUGUUGCGCAUUAAUUAACUUGGCGGUCUUGUUCGUCACAAACGCGGCCUCCAUUGGCGAUAAUUUGAUUGAUAAUGAGAAUAGUGAUGAAAGAACACAAAUAAAGAUUUGGGAAUGAAAACAGGAAUUAAUGGAAUGGAAAAGAAAAAGAAAUACAGAAGUAGCAAGGAGAGAAAUAGUAUACACGUGAAGAGGAAGGACAAAUAACAGGAAAAGAUAACGAGGAGAAUAUAACGCAACUAGAUAUAGGAAACAGCUGCACAGAAGAGAACGAAUAGGGAAAAAAAUAAUAGUAAACAAUGACAACAAUAAUAGGAAUAAAGAUAAUUUACUACCAAUAUCUACGCAACAAUAUGAAACAAUGCACACGAGAGGAGAUUGAAGAAAAACAAAAAAAUAAAUAAUGACAAUGAUAAUAAGAAUAAAGAUAAUUUACAGAGCACAAUCGGCAGUCUAAACACGUCCCUCUUUUUUACGGUCCCUCUGCCGGCCACAACGACCCUUUGAGAGGCCCUGCGGGACGUUGCGAAAGUCACUGCGGCGGCGGUUGGCUUCUGCUGAGGUUGCCGUACGGAGCCUCGACACAAAGAUCGGCGCCUGACUUGAGAGUGAGUGGCCGUGUGAGUCAGCAACAUUGAAGGCCCCGAGCAAUACCAAGAACACCGACAAUAUUGCUUGUCUGUCAGGGAUGAAACCCCCUCGGGCCAACCCGUUAUUUGGGAGGUUCGGCUGGGUCACGAUGGAGGAGGAGGAAGAGGGGCUGGUGUAGAAAGUCUUGGAUGGGAGGAGACUCAGGAGAGAGAAAGGUUCAGCUAGUAACAGGGCAGGUGGCUUGUUUGUCGUGAGGAGGAGAGGAAGGCUGUAGCUUGUAUGAGAGGGGUGAGGGACCGAUAGAACACGAGAAGGGGAUGGUGUCGGGGGAUGAUAAAUAAUAGGUUAUGGUGUGUGUGUGUAAGGGUGACGGAGAGAUAGAACACGAGAGGGUGAAGCGUGGAAUUGUGGGUGAUCAGACGCGGAGGAGGAAGAAGAGUAUAGCUUAUGUUAGGUGGGGGAAGGGGAAAUCGUAGGGUGAGUGUGAGUGAUUGCACGAGGUGGUGGUUUUGUAGCAUGUGUGUGUGGGGGGGUGAGGGGUGAAGCUGGGGUGACCGUUCGUACGCAUGUCCCUAAUAAGGAGAGCAGGCUGUGAGGGGCUGGGGACGACCCGGCUUCGCUGACCACGCUAAGGAGUUCAGCAGCUAAUGGGGGAGGAAGGGGGGUUGAGAAUAGUCGAGUGUGUCACCUUCAGGGAGAAACUGGGGGCGAGUGGCAUUAUGAUUCUCUCUCUCUCUCUCUCUCUCUCUCUCUCUCUCUCUCUCUCUCUCUCUCUCUCAUGUUUGGUCACGAGCAGAAUUACAGUAGGAAAAAUAGUUGACCUGCCGCCCCCGCUUGACGAUGGAAGGGCAGAGUGCACUGGUGGCAAAGUCUGUCUGUGUUUGUUUGUGUGGGUGUGAGUGUGAGGGUUAGGGUGGCGUCGAGAGUGGGUGUGGUCCGGGGUAGCGUCCCUUUAACACCUGUGUUGUGAAGGGGAGGAGGAAGAGGGGGGUGACUGUGUGUGUGUGUGGUGGUGGUGGUGGAAGGGAAGUAGGAGAGCUUUGUUCACCGUCCCCCCUUACUCCCCCUUUCUCCUCUCUGCCACCUCCUCCCAACUUUUUUUCCUACUCCUCCCCCUCACGUACUUUCUCCACACCUGGAUCGCCAGAAAGUCAUUUUUAACUGCCUUCCUCUUCGCUGAUUUAGUAGACAACUCCGCCACACCACCCCAAGCUAUGAAGGGGGUAUAGGAAAAAAGCAAUGCAUUCUCGAGCAUUUUUGGCAUACGUUGAACACGCUAUCCCCCGUCACCUCUUCCCUCCUUGCUUCACCCGAGGCAAGAUAGAUAGGUAGGGUUCCAUGUCAAGCCAAAUCCCCCCUUAUAAACAGAACUUCCAGAGGUCAGAGUUUCCUAUCGCUAUGGCCACCACAACCUGCCCGGCCCAGUUGUAAGCGAGGAGAGGUACUGCUGGCGUAGCGGCUCUCGAGGCGAGUUGUGGAGGAGGAUUGGGCCGAGAUGAGACAGAAGGAUGAGCUGGCGUUCGUUGUAGUGGGGCUUGAUAUCUUCAACGAUGCGUCUUUGUAGAAUCUUGUGCCCCACUUGUGUCUUGUUGAAAGUGGUAACCGUCCACACCUCACCACCCAACACUGUUCUUCUCCAAUCUCGGGAAAGGACGACACACCGGCGUUAAAGAUUUGUGUGGGUGUAUUUUUAACGAUGGGUCUUUGUAGAAUCUUAUAAAUCCACUUUCGUCUCGUUGAAAUAACCGUUCACAUCUCCCUACCGCUGUUCUCAAAGUUCUGGAGACGAAAAUACCUUUACAAUUUAUGAUGUUGCAGUCCUAUAUUAUCGUCUAUUAUAUAUUACUACUAGUACUGUUCAGCUCAAAUUUGGGAAGGAAAUGCACACACCAGCUUAUAAGUCCCUGUUUUGUCAUUGCAGUCCCAUAGGCUCGACACACUGUUAUCUUUCACCCAUUGUCUUGAAGUGGGCCGAGGGAGAGUCUUUCCCCUUCCUGUUUUGUCUUCCAGUUAAGGGCCGAGUCGAAGCACAAUGGGGUCUCGUAUUUCGAUCGCUUUUGGGGUGGGUGAGGGUGAGGGGGCCAGGAUGUUGUUGACUACAGCCCCAGGAAAGUCAACCCAGAUGCAGUACGAGGAAUCCGAAAACCACCUAAAAAAGGCUUCGGUGUUAUUGUUCAUGGGGUAACCGAGGGAGGAGGUAGUUCAUUGUAGUAUUGUAAAACGGUGAAAUGGCAGCUUGGAGCGAAGGAACGUUUUUGUUACCCGCCGAUAGCUAAAAAGGCUUUCAUGUGGGAUUGUUCAUAUAUCCAUUGUAGUAUUGUAAAGCGGUAUGACGACAACUGAGGCGGCAUUUAGUGUUGAUGUGGCGUCUAGCGUGGGGUCAGAGAGAGAGUGCCGGCGACAUGAGUAGGGUGUUGUAAUAAGGGGGGAUGGGAUGGCCUCACAAGCCUUGGUUCCUGCAACACCAGUUUUUGCUUCAGUUGCCGCUUCUCCACUGCGUUCAGCUCUCUCUAUUCCUCUUUCUCCACGAUGUCGAUAGGAAACUUCAGGGAAACUUUCCUUCUCUCCCUACCAGGCAGUACGAUGCAAACCCCUUGACUCGAAUGCACGGCCCCGAGCUUGCUGGCGUCAUGGAAUAUUCUUGGGCGCCAUGACUCCCUCCUCGACGCCACACCCUCAGUCCACGUUUUCCUCCCUCUCCCCCACCCCAGCCACGCCUUCUUCCUCUCCCUGACGACGCUGCUCUCCCCCCUUACUCCUCCCAAACGACGCUAAACUCCCCCAUCCCUUCAUCUCCCCACGCCACCCACCCCUUCCUCUCAACGACGCUACUCCCUAUGCCUUACUCGCCCCAUCCCACCCCAUCCUCUCCCUGACUGACGCUAUUCUCCCCGCCCCACGCCUUCCUCCCUCUCCCCCCCCCGACGCUUCGCCCCCUCCCCGUCCUCCUCCCACUCCCCCUCGCAGUCAGGGUCACAAUCGCUUGUUUUAGGCGGUUUGUUGCAAUGGUUACGAAAGUCCGAGGAGAAGAAGACGGGUUAUGCAGACUAAGCAUUAAAUGGAAGGACGUAGCCGGCUAGGUUGAAGGGUUAUUUUUGUUGGCAGGUGUGAAUUGAACCUGGUACCGGUAGUCGUAAUAUUCUUUCGAAAAUGAUUUCAUGUAAGAAGUUCAGUUGAAAGUGGGGAGGAGAAGGGAUAAAGAAGGAAA